AUCAUAAUAGGCAUAAUGACAUCAUAAUGGUCAAGAUGGUGUCACAAUGCUCAUGUGAACCAUAAUGGUCAUAAUGACAUCAUUGUAGGCAAGAACCAUGAUGAUAUCAUAGUGGGCCUGCAGCAGAUGGGUCACAAGCACUGGGAUUCACAGAACAACUGAACAAGGGCAGGGGCUGUAUAUUAUCUGGCUUUGCAUUUGAGAAGCCUGAGAGUGGUCUUCUGGUCAGCAACCAAGUACUCAGGAAGACGUUUAGCCCUUGCAGUUUGGACAGCCUUUUCCAGGUAGGAAGACUUUUCUUCUCAGCAACCCCCAGCUGACCAGUGUUACCUUGCAGAAUUUCCUGCAGCUAUGAAAAUGCUCCAUCACCCUACUGUCUAGUAUGAUUGCCACUAGGUACGUGCUGUGCACACAUGGGAUUUCGAAAAAGUGCAAUAAGAAUGUAAAA
rnacentral:lncRNA from 1 species